CUACGGGGGGCUGCAGUGAGGAAUAUUGCACAAUGGGGGGAACCCUGAUGCAGCAACGCCGCGUGGAGGAUGACGCAUUUCGGUGUGUAAACUCCUUUUAUAUGUCAAGAAAAUGACGGUAGCAUAUGAAUAAGCACCGGCUAACUCCGUGCCAGCAGCCGCGGUAAUACGGAGGGUGCAAGCGUUACUCGGAAUCACUGGGCGUAAAGGACGCGUAGGCGAGUUGGAAAGUCAGGUGUGAAAUCCUACAGCUUAACUGUAGAACUGCACUUGAAACUUCUAAUCUAGAGUAUGGGAGGGGGAGAUGGAAUUAGUGGUGUAGGGGUAAAAUCCGUAGAUAUCACUAGGAAUACCUAAAGCGAAGGCGAUCUCCUGGAACAUUACUGACGCUAAGGCGUGAAAGCGUGGGGAACAAACAGGAUUAGAUACCCUGGUAGUC
rnacentral:rRNA from 1 species